GAAUACGAGAAACAGGGGUUGAGCCGUCGCGUGUAACGGAAAGGAGUGGUUAGCUCGGAAAUGUAAGUCGGAAGUGCGUGUAGAUGUUGCACUGUGUUAAGGAAAGGGAUACAAAUAUACACACUCUCUGCACGCAAGUCUAAUUCAAACGUCAGCCUGUGGAGGCGAAGAUAUUGAAAUUUAUUUCUCAAGGUAUCAGUUAUUUUGAUCGCAAUGAAUAUAUUGGAUGGCUAAUGCAAAAAUGAACAGAAAUGACGCGAUUGCUCCACUAUCGCAAGCCACGCGAAAAGGCUUUUGUUAUCGCGAUAUUGUUCUGCGGGGGGUUUAUAAUUUUUCCGGAGUUUUAUAAAAAGAUCGUCGAGAAUGCGUACAUCUUUACGUAACGUGUUUAUCCGUUUGAUGCUCACGCUAUUUAAACAAAAGAUGAAACCUGAUAAUAUCGAUAAUAUCAUUCUAUGUACAUAUUGAUCUAUAUAUAAGCUGGGAAACUACGGAAAGAUUCACAGAACAUUUUGAAGAGAGCGAACUGCAGAAAAGAGAUCAGCAAAAACUAUUAAGAUGGGAAAACUUGUUUUACUUCUUUGCUUUGCGCUUCUCGCAGUGAAUUUGGUCAUGGCUUGCACUCUACCUGGCCAACUGUGUUCAAGUACCAGUGAAUGUUGUAAAGGUUUUGUAUGCCAUCCAUGCGUAAAUCGUUGCACUGGAGGACCCCCCGAAGGAAUCCCAAUCGGCCCGUGUGGGCCAAGAGAACCUCCAGUAACUAACUAAGGAGUGAGUGAUUAAUUUGGAUUACCUUCCAUAAGUACAAUUUAAUCUUUUGCUUAAUUUAGAAAAGAAUGUAUUAAAUGUAAUUUACCCUUACAUCAUAAUUAAAAACAUAUAUUUGUUUAUUCAUUAUACGGCAAAAUUUCUUUCAUAUUCUUCCCUUUUUACGUUAUCAAACUAAUUAAAAUUAUUAUAAUUGUAAAGAUUAUGAAAAUAAUUAUAAGAGGAUAUUUGUGCGCAAAUGUUCUUAUAUUAGAGACAACUGUACACAUUUUGUUAACGUGAACUAUAACAAGAUAAUAAUUGUUCGAUAUAUUGUGAUAUAAUUAAAAAUUAUAUAAUAAUAUCAAUUUUUAUACGUAGAUUU